GGCCAACCAGAGGCUGUCGCUCAGGGCGGCCGCCAACGCCCUGUCCUGCUCCCGCCGUCCUACCUCUGUCAGACUGGAGGGUGGACAAAAUAAUAGAAACAACUUAGAGUUGUGGGGAGCGGAGGACACCACAGGUCAAAGGUGGAAGUCUCACCUUUACCAUUACCACGCCAGAGAGGCCUCACCUGUGCAACGUCCGUCCGUCUGAGCUGCUCUGUCGGGCAAACAGCAGGUGCUUAAUGAUGCGAGCCUGGACGACCAUCUGAAUGGCCUGAGCCCCGCCCUGAAACACAUGACCUUAAAAGAUGUAAUAUUCUGGGCGGGGCUUGAUGCUGGUGGGUUAAAACUGCCAGCCUAUCAGGAGUGAGAUGAAGCUCUUAGUCGUAGGUCUGUGUAUAGUCAUACACAGGAAUUUGAAACUGCAGUGCUCACUCGGCCCUCAGUGUACAGUAAAAAUAUAAAGAUUAAAAAAAGGAAAAUAAAAUAGAAGUCUUAUGUACAACACAAUACUACACAAUUAUUUAAACAGCAGUGUCCAACACAAUCAUAGUGACUGUGGGCAAGUUCAUGUGCACCGGGGUGGUGCAGUCAGUGAAAGGGUGGUCAGAGUUUUUAUGUUUGGGGGGUUCAGAGGGAAGAGGUGGAUGCAGGUCUGGAGUCGGUGUGUGAGAGAGUUUAGCAUCCUGACAGCCUGAUGGAUGAAGCCGUCUCUCAGUCUCAAACAGCUCUAACUAUAUGCUUUAGCAAACAGGAAACUUUGAAGCUGAUCUUAAAAGCAGAGUUGGUUUCUCACCCCAUCAGCCUUCAGAGCGUAUGCUAACUCGGAGUUUGGUUCCCUGAAGUGGAAGAUGGCUCUCCUCCACUCGUAGUCGAAGACACGAAAGUUUCCACCCAGAAGAAUCCUCCUCAGGCUCUGACAUCAAAACAGGGACAGGUCAUCGGUCGAUCGUGUGAAUGCACCCUGACAGGGAACAACAGGUCAAAGCUGCUUCGCCACACUGGACGCUCAAACAUGGAGCUCAAAGCAGCUCUGAACACUCCCUGCUUUUGGAUCUGUUCACACCUUCUGUUUGUCACAGGAAGCCAAUGACAAUGAAGCUAGUUUAAAGGGGGAGGGACUAAAACUGUUUGUUUCAGGCAGAAGCCUGACUGUAUAAAGAUAAAAUCAUAGAGCUGGAAAUAAAACUUCCUGUGGGGUGUUACGGCACCCGCACGCCUCCACCCUGGUAUCCUCAUAAACCCCGCCUCCCUUCAGCCAAGUGGAGGUGUCAUGUAACACACCUGAUCUGUGAUCAGUUGGGGGGUGACCGGCAUUCCCCCGAGCUCCGCAGAGAUGGCCAGCCUCCGGGGGAUAGAGCAGAGGGCUUGGAGGGUCCUCCGGGGUGGAGGGGCUUCCUCCUGCUCCUCCUCCUUCCCCACAUCCAGCAGCCUCUGAGGAGAAGGAGAGACAAACAGCUGCCUUUGACCGUUCAGUCACAAAGAAAAAAACACUUCCCACAGCUUCAGCACUGAACAACUUUUCCUGGAAACAUCAGAUUAACAGCAAACCUGCAGUCACAUGACUCAGGGAAGCUUUUACCUUUGUCUUCCCUCAUUGCACACACUGAAAUAAAGCAAUAUGAGUGGACAGUGAAUCAUUGACAAAGGGUGUGACACUGGUCAAACACGGUACGUGGUGGUAGUAAGUGCAGUAGUAGUAUUUUCUUAGAGGUGACUCACGUGAGGAUUCCUGCUGACUUCCUGUCGGAGCAGCUCGAUGUAGUCCAGCCUGCAGUCUGACAUCACUGACUACAGCUGAGGGACGGCCCUUACUAACACUGCAGGGGAGCCACGGCGAGGAUGACGAGCUGCUCCUUCAUCCUGUCUGAAGCUGCAGCCUGACUCUGAGUGUUACACAGUCAGCUGAAAACUGACCUGAGUGCAGUGCAGCUGUGCCACCAACAGAGGGCAGAGCUGAUCUAUCUAUCGAUCUAUCAGGCACGAUGGAUGCUGACAGAGCGUCUCUGUGUUCAUGAUUCAUUUACUGUCAACAACAUUUCAAAUUAAUUUCAUGUUACAGAAACAGAAAUAUGGUUUCUUUUGGAAACAGUGACAUUCUGAGUCGAGCCCAGACUUUUGAACCAUCAGCUGAAGAGCUGUUAGCUGAAAACUGCACAGCUCAGCAUGCUGUGCACAGAUAUGUAUGCUCACAGUGACAGCCGUCUUAUUUCCCUGCCAUGUUUUCAGAUAUGCGCAGACUCGUGUAUGGAAGGUGUCUAAGUCCUGCCAUUAAUUAAUGCUUCAAUCUUAAAUAUGAUCAACCUAUCUCUAAUAAUCAGCUAUGUACCACAGGCCUUCAAGCUGGCUGUAGUUAGACCUUUACUCAAAAAGCAUCUCUGGACCCAACUUAGCUAAUUAUAGCAGUGAUUCCUGAGAUUAGGGACAAAACAGGUUUUAAUUUUUGAAAAAAUAUUUUAUGAUUUUUCAAAAACAUAUUUACAUAUAAUUGUUACACAAAGUUUUGGCUGUCUCACCAUGUUUUGGUACAAUCUCCCAGGAGUAUCAUUUUUUAAUAAUUUAUAUUUUUGAUGGAGAAGUGCAAGGUUUUAGUCAACACCAUCAGACUCAAAGAAAUGCAAAAAUUAAGUUGUUUCAGCUAUUUUGACUAUUAGCAGCUUCUCUGUUCUACUGUUUAUGCACAUAUGUUUUCAAACUAAUUAUACCACGUUUAAAAGUUA